UACGGAGGGUGCAAGCGUUAAUCGGAAUUACUGGGCGUAAAGCGCGCGUAGGCGUUGCUAAGUCAGUGUGAAAUCCCCGGGCUCAACCUGGGAAUGGCAUUUGAGACUGGUAGGCUAGAAUGUGGUAGAGGUGAGUGGAAUUCCAGGUGUAGCGGUGAAAAUGCGUAGAGAUCUGGAGGAACAUCAGUGGCGAAGGCGACUCACUGGGCCAUUAUUGACGCUGAGGUGCGAAAGCGUGGGUAGCAAACAGGAAUUAGGAUACCCCUGUAGUCC
rnacentral:rRNA from 1 species